UUGUACAUAGUUAUCUAAUUCAUUGAAAAUAAAUCCGUAAAAUUUUUAAUGAAGCGACAGCGUUCUCGUCAAAAUUUUUUGUGUAUUUUAUACUAGAAAAAUGUCAUUUGAUUUUAAUUACAAAUUCUGGAUUGAUACUAAAAAGGAUGUUGAGGAUAUUGUAAAGAGACAAAAUGUGCUGAAGAAGAAGAGCCCCAUUACCAAUCCAUUGGUUACAUAUAGAAUAUUUUCUGAACUAUACGUUUUGUACGUAGAACUUGUUAAUAAGCUGAGCUAUGUCUACAAUUACACAUUUCAAGUACAGAAGCGCGAAGUUGUUAGAUCUUUAGUUCAAUCAGCUGCUCGGCGAUUAAUUGAGUUAAAAAACGAGCUGAAGAACUUGGAACUAAGUGAAUAUGUUUACACUGAUAAAGCUUUAAUUGCUCGAAAAUUGAAUCCAUAUGACUUGGUUAUAUGGCGUUCUCCACAAUUCCUGUAUCGCCGUCCGCCCGAAAUACAAAAUAUCGUGUAUGAAAGGAGAAUUUUUAUGACUGAAGACGAGAAAAUUGAUGCUGAAAUUAAGAGUAAGAUAUUUUUGGGUGGAGCAGUUACCCUAAUACAAGCUCAUGAAAGGGCUAGAAGUGCUCGAGUUUACAAAUCAGCUGUAAAAUAUGAUAAGAACAAACUCAAAGUUAUUCAAAGAAAAAAACCGAAUUAUACCUUUACACAUAAAUUUGACCAACCAAUGAGCAUACCUGUAAAAAGAACAAUGUUUAGCGGAAACUUUGUAAAGCAAAAUGAAGAUUGUCAAUAUUUGCUGCAAGCAGACAAUUUGGUGAGGAAAUUGGAAAAUGAGAUCGACGAAGAUGAGUUUAACAGGCUACGCAAUGAAGCAGCAUUGAAAAUUCAAUUAGCGUGGAGGGCUCACAGAAGUAAGAAAAUACUGAAGAAAAGACAUAUUUUUAAACAAACAUUGUAUGGUAUGAGGACUAAAAAGAAAUUGAUAAAAACAAACCAGUACUUUGACUCCGUUCUCGAAACAUAUAAAAAUGAGCUGUAUAAGAAAAGACUCGAUGAAGAUUUUAUUAGAUUAAUGUCUGAUGAGAGAACUAGGCUAUUGCAAGAAAGGUCUCCCUGGAUAAUGGAGGACAUAUCUGAUCACAUACGUGGAUGGUUUCGGGAAUUCUAUGAUAAAGUUGGUGAUUUUCAUCCGUACCCAGAUGCUUUAAAGUCGGGUACUGUAUUGGUACUGAUAGACGAAACAUUUACUCCUGAGGAAUUCAAGGAAAAGUUGAAUGAAAUGAAUUUGUCUAAAGAGGAGAAGAAAAAAAGAGCUGAGAAAGCUAAACAGCAAAGAAAAAAGGAAAAGGACAAAAUUAGAAAAGAAAAAAUUAAAGAGGCUAAACGGCGUAAAAAAAUGAAGGAGGCGGGCAUUUACGACAUAGCGGAUAAUUUAAAGACUAAUAAAAAUAUAAUAAACAUUGAAAAAACAAUAAAACAAUACUCUAUUGACUGGAAAUUAAUUGAUGAAUAUCUAAAUAAAAAUCAUGAAGCAAUAAAGGAAUGGGUUACAGAGGGAGAGCUGGCAAUUCUGCAUAGGGAGCUAAGAGCUUUGGUAGAUGAAUAUAUGUGCUUGGAAUAUGAGAUGCUACGGAACGCUCUAUGUAUGGACUUAAAGAAAAAAUACAAACCUCAGAGAAAGAAAAAAGUGAAAAGUAAAAAAAAAGGGAAAAAACAAAAAAAAAUUAAAGAUAUAACGGCGGAUCGUUCACUUGAGUCAUUGUAUGAGGAACUGAAGGCUACAGGAAUAAUAGAAAAGUGUGAGAAGAAAACAUUCGAGGCAUUUAUAUCGGAUUUCAAUUUCAUCGCCGAUGACACUCGUGACGAAGAUAAUUUAACUACCUUGGGCCCGGCUAAAGCUGAUAUUAAAAUGGUUGUUCAAGAAUGUAUGCUUGGCUUGGGAGAAUUUGCUGUGGAUAAACCCAAAUCACUUUGUUUGGCAGGACCUUUGAAUAACGGAAAAAAAUUACUUUCACAAAUUAUAGCAUUUGAAACUGAUGCGGUGUUUAUGAAUCUUAGUCCAGAAAAAACCCAGGCUUUUGGCAAUAAAGACUUGAAUUACUUAAUGCACGUAAUUAUGAAAGUUGCUAAAGCUUUCCAGCCAACUAUAAUUUUCAUACAAGAUGUACACAGAAUAUUUUGGAAAAAGGUCCCAAAAGAUCAAGAAUAUUUAAAUCCUCGAUUACUUCAAAAAGCAAUAUCCACUAAGAUAUUAAAACCAAUAAAAAAAGAGGAUAAGAUAUUGCUUUUGGGUACGACUGAUGCCCCUUGGUCUGCAAAACCAAAAAUGAAACGAAUUUUUCAAAAGGUUUUAUUGAUACCUAAAUGUGAUUAUGGCACCAGUCUUUUGCUUUGGCUAGAACUUUUAACAAAUUUCGCUGGCGAAGAUUCCGUCGAUGAUUAUGUUUAUUCUGCACUGGCAAAAGUUUUGCAAAAUUACAACUCUGGCGAUAUAACGGAUAAUGUAGCUGAAACUUUAAAUGUCCGACGGCGCAUGAAAUUGAAAUCAGCACCUUUAAAUCCUUUCGAAUUCAUAGAACAUUUUAUUGGUAGAAACCCACCAAUAUUCCCUCCUGAAGAGAAGUUACUGGAGAAGUUUCUGAAAUGGUAUCAAAGAGCCAACAAGCUAUGUAUUGUAAGAAGGAAGUUUUUGAAGAAAAAAGAACAAAAAAAUCAGAAGCGAAGAUGAUUUUCAUGCGCACAUAAAUAUAGCAAAAUGGGCUUUACUGAUUUCCAGUUUCUGCAGUUUUCGUAAUACAUAGUUCCCCUAUUCGAAUUCAGAUAACCGCAAAGAAUUAAAAGGAGAAUUUGUAUGCCAAGUGGGUUUUCUUUUCUCUGUACAAAACACUUCUGAUAUGGUUCAUCUCCAAAGAUCCAAGCAACAGAUCAAAGAACGCAAUCAUUUUAAACCUUUCCUUGUAUCACUUACUGAUGCUGUUCCUGGUAUCAUAUAAACCGUUUUUAUGCAUCAAAACCACACGAACAUUUAAAUUUACAUUAAAAGUGCUACCCUACUUGUGGGCUGGGAUAUUUGUGCCGCUUUUGGUUGAAUUUGAGAUAUUAGUUUACUUCUUUAUCGCUUUCUGAAAUUUUAUGAGAAAUCAAUUCAAGCUGAAAAAUCCCUUCAGACCAUUUGACAGAUAAAAUUUAAGUAGUGUUAUGCGAUAGUAAAGUAUUUAUUUAAAAAAAAAUUGUAUUAAUGCUACCAAACUCUAGUUUGAAGAGGAGUAAAUUUAUGUAUUGUAAUUGCAAAUGUCCGAAUUAGAUGGCAUCUUAUUCGUCGAUUACAAAGAAGAGGGUGUUAAAACCAUGUAGAACACUACGCUGUUCGUUAAGAGAAACUAAAAAAUGUCAUUAAAGAAAUAAUAAGCU